CAAACUUAAAUCGUUGUGUGUCCUUAAGCAACAAAACACAAGACACAAAAACACCUAAACAACAUGCAAACUAUCUAUAUGUUCUUAAUUCCAGCAAUCCAAUAACACAAAUAUAUUCAUUAGGCCUUAGAAAAAUCACAAAAACAUGCUAAUACAUCAUGUUACUGCAAUUCAAUAUAUCCCAACAAUCAAUGAAUCUAAAUUUGUUAUUACUGAUAUUGUGAGUGUGUGUUCAACAACCAUACUAACCAAUGAACAACAAAAUACGAAAAAUAAUAAAGUUCUUAAUAGGCAUCAUACAGUUUCAACUCGAGAAUUCAUCAAAUAAACUAGAUUCAACCGAAAUUAAACAAUCACCAAAGUCCAGGGGUCAAAAUGGAAUACUUAUGCUUGUUUUUGCUAUACGGGGGCAUUUUGCACUUUUCCUACUUUAUCAUAUAUAUAUAUAUAUAUAUAUAUAUUUUCAUGACUAUGCAUUGUCUUAUCCCUUAGGCUUUUCAAUGCUACCUUAACGAGCUUUCGACCAACGACUCCCAAGCCAUUAAGACCUUAGGGCGCUAGGUGUAGAGACAAUCCCCUUGGGCUUACUUACUCAAGUAACAAAGGCCACAAAACUAGACAAGCACGCCACGGUGUUUAUUUGCCAUUUUUUUAAAGCUUAUAUACUCCAAAUAUUUUUCCCCCAAACUUGAGUUCAUAUCUAAAUUCAGUCUUUACUAGCUAUUUAACUUGUUCCUUCAUUUCACUAGCAUUCAUCCUUUAGAACUUUAUUAUCUAUCCAUUUAAACUAUCAUAGCCGUCAUGGUCAUUUUUCAAAAUGUGCUAUCCUUAUAAUAUCAGUGUCAAACAGAUGGAGAUUUAAAUCAUAUCAAUUAAAUCAUAUCACUAGCUUAACAAUCCUUACUAGCCUUGUUCAUGCAAUUUUAAUUUCAUCAUUGGCCCCAAACAUACGUACUAUCAAAGGCUCGAAUUAACAUGCAAUCCUAAAAUGCAACACUUAAUCACAUUAAUAAAGAUCCAAAUUAAAACCAUUAACAAUCUAAUAAUGCAAAAUAACAAUUAACUACCCCCAAACUUAACAAGAGCAAUGUCCUCAUGCGAAAGAUAUAACAAUAUAAAACAGAGGACUUCCCUGACGAGCUUAUUCCUCGGGUGGAGCAUCCUCAUCCUCGCUCAUCUCUUGAUCAGAAGGGGGAAACACAAGCAGAAUUGGAGCAGUGGGGAACUGGCUGAGAUUAUCACCCGGGAUUAACUGGGUGUUCAUGACAUUUUGAGCUGCAAACUGGUAGACCAAAUAUUUAUAGAUCACAUCUUGGCGUUCAGAUGGGCGGACAUUUUGGGCUUCCAGAUUGUAAAACCAUCCGUCUAUUUCACGUUGGACUGCUUCUGGAACUACACCACGGUGAGCUGCUAACGACGGACCAUAAGUAGGUGGAGCCUGAGGUGGUGGAGCUUAAGAAGCUUCGACUUGGGGAAUUAUGAAACCCAAUCCUCUAGGGUGAUUUG
rnacentral:lncRNA from 1 species